rnacentral:rRNA from 1 species
GGUUCGAUCCUGGCUCAGAUUGAACGCUGGCCGGGAUGCUACCACAUGCAAGUCGAACAGCGGCACGGACUUCGGUCUGGUGGCGAGUGGCGAACGGGUGAGUAAUGUCGGAACGUGCCUAGUAGCAGGGGAUAACUACGCGGCGUAGCUAAUACCGCAUACGCCCUUCGGGGAAAGCAGGGGACCUUCAGACCUCCUUACUAUUAGAGCAACCGAUAUCCAGAUUAGCUAGUUGGUGGGGUAACAGCUCACCAAGGCGACGAUCCGUGGCUGGUUUGAGGACGACCAGCCACACUGGGACUGAGACCUGGCCCAGACUCCUACGGGAGAGGCAGCAGUGGAAUUUGGACAAUGGGAAACCUGAUCAGCCAUCCCGCGUGCGGCAUGAAGGCCUUCGGGUUGUAAAGCACUUUUGGCAGAAAGAAACGCUGGGAUAAUACCCGUGCAGCUGGCAGUACCUGCAGAAUAAGCACCGGCUUCUUCACGUGCAGCAGCCGCGUAAUACGUAGGGUGCAAGCGUUAAUCGGAAUUACUGGGCGUAAAGGCGUGCGCAGGCGGUUCGGAAGAAGAUGUGAAAUCCCAGAGCUUAACUUUGGAACUGCAUUUUAACUACCGAGCUAGAGUGUGUCGGAGAGUCUGGAAUUCCGCGUGUAGCAGUGAAAUGCGUAGAUAUGCGGAGGAACACCGAUGGCGAAGUAGCCUCGGGAUAACACUGACGCUCAUCUUACAUAUGAAAGCGUGGGAGCAAACAGGAUUAGAUACCCUGGUAGUCCACGCCUAAACGAUGUCAACUGGCUUUAUUUUGGGGCCUUCGGGCCUUGGUAGCGCAGCUAACGCGUGAAGUUGACCGCCUGGGAGUACGGUCGCAAGAUUAAAACUCAAAGGUGCAACCGGGGACCCGCACAAGCGGUGGAUGAUAUUGGAUUAAUUCGAUGCAACGCGAAAAACCUUACCUACCCUUGACAUGUCUGGAAUCCCGAAAGAGAUUUGGGAGUGCUCGCAAGAGAACCGGAACACAGGUGCUGCAUGGCUGUCGUCAGCUCGUGUCGUGAGAUGUUGGGUUAAGUCCCGCAACGAAGCGCAGCCCUUGUCAUUUAGUUGCUACGAAGGGCACUCCUAAUGGGACUGCCGGUGACAAACCGGAGGAAGGUGGGGAUGACGUCAAGUCCUCAUGGCCCUUAUGGUGGGGCUUCACACGUCAUACAAUGGUCGGGACAGAGGGGUCGCCAACCCGCGAGAGGCCAAUCCCAGGAAACCCGAUCGUAGUCGGAUCGCAGUCUGCAACUCGACUGCGCGAAGUCGGAAUCGCUAGUAAUCGCGGAUCAGCAUGUCGCGGUGAAUACGUUCCCGGGUCUUGUACACACCGCCCGUCACCUGUGGGAAUUAGGGUUUGCAGGAAGUAGUUAGCCUAACCGUAAGGAGGCGAUUACCACGGUAAGUUCAUGACUGAGGUGAAGUCGUAACAAGGUAA